rnacentral:rRNA from 1 species
AGCUAAUAGAUACCCAGGUAGUCCACGCCCUAAACGAUGUCAACUGGGUGUUGGGGAAGCGAUUCCUUGGUACCGUAGCUAAACGCGUGAAGUUGACCGCCUGGGGAGUACGGCCGCAAGGUUAAAACUCAAAGGAAUUGACGGGGACCCGCACAAGCGGUGGAUGAUGUGGAUUAAUUCGAUGCAACGCGAACAACCUUACCUACCCUUGACAUGUCUGGAAGGCUGCUGAAAGGUGGCUGUGCCCGAAAGGGAACCGGAACACAGGUGCUGCAUGGCUGUCGUCAGCUCGUGUCGUGAGAUGUUGGGUUAAGUCCCGCAACGAGCGCAACCCUUGUCCCUAGUUGCUACGCAAGGGCACUCUAGGGAGACUGCCGGUGACAACCGGAGGAAGGUGGGGAUGACGUCAAGUUCUCAUGGCCCUUAUGGGUAGGGCUUCACACGUCAUACAAUGGUCGGUACAGAGGGUUGCCAACCCGCGAGGGGUAGCCAAUCCCAGAAAGCCGAUCGUAGUCCGGAUUGCAGUCUGCAACUCGACUGCAU